UUAGGUGUCUGCGGGGCGUCAUUCGGCCUCGUCGCGGACUUGGGUUCCAAAUCAUGUUCAAGCUGCUCUAAUUCAAUCAUAGUUCAUUUAACAAAGAUCACUACGGAUGGCACAAAGGUAGUAUAAGUCAUAUCUUCACAUGCCCGGCAUCUUCUGAAAAUGGCAUGAGCAAUGGCUCUGAUCCCGUCUUUGGCUCGCUUCUUUUCUAUGAGUAGGCGUUUUAUUUGAUUACUGGCCAGUAAUGGGCUUGAGAAUCUUGCAGAUGUUGACUCUAAGACUAAUGCACCUCUACCUCCAUUUGGGAUAAUAAGUCGUAACAGUGCCCACUUUCAAUUUCAAAGUCUUUAGCAUGCUUAACCAUUUUUCCCUCGAUGGCAACCACCUUUCUUUUGAAGCCGGCUACAAUUUCUCGUGAUCCCAUUUCAAUUGGUUCAAAUACUGAUGACGAUUUUCUAUUUUCAUAGCCCAUUGCGCUUUGAGUUCUGAUAUGACAUUCUCGGAUUUCCUCACUUCACCCUAGUGCUCCCUAAUUUUGUUUCUAGCCCUUUUAUCAGCCGCUCAUCUGAUUGACUCCUUGGUUGGUUAUUAGCGGCUUUCCUCAGUUGUUGGAUUUAGGACCUGAGCACCUCAUUCUCCUGGGCUAGCCUAUUCUUUUUUCCCUGAUCGGCGGCAACUUGCACACUGUUCUUGAAUUUUAAGCUCUCAAUCUGUUGCAUUAGUUCGCCUAUUUAUGCCUGGUAACUUUCUUCUUUUGCUAGCCAGCCCCAUUGUUCUUGCGAAUCAUCUGUGAACUGUUGGACAUGGGCUCUUUUGGCGGGCCUUUGAUGAGUCGGGAACCUCUUCUCAAAUCAUGCACAAUAUUUUAGGUCCAUCUCUCAUCUAGCUAAAUUUUGCACUAUAGUUCUGGGCUCAAGGUACCUGCAUUUGUUCCACAAUUUGAGAAUUUUGUGUUCCGGGAAAGUGACUCCUGGAUUUAGCCCGAUGACUUAAUUGCUCAAAUCUUCAUCUUUAGGGAUGACUUGGAACCUUCCCAACUGACGUAGUACUCGAUGGGAGCAUAUGGUUGGAUGCUCCGAACACCCAUUAACAGAAUAUAACAUUCUCUAGUUGCCAUGUGUAUCAUCUCGCUAACAGGUAACCACCCGAAUGCCCACUCAAUUUGAUCCACCGUCAGCGAUCUCAGUCAUGCAAACCAUUCUUCAUUACCCUCAGGGAACACAACACCUUACCCGCUUUUCAAAUUCUUUAAUGCAUUUUAAACCAGUUAGACCACGAGUCAUAUAUCCCGCUCGGGGACAGAGAUCCUCUUGCAUCCAUAGCUGGAGUAAUAAAUUGCAGCCCUAGAAAAAACCUCCUU
rnacentral:lncRNA from 1 species